rnacentral:rRNA from 1 species
UCGUGCAUUUACAUUUCCACUAAUGCACCAGAUACCAUCAGAACUCAGAAGUUAAGCAUGCUUUGGCGAGAGUAGUACUAGGAUGGGUGACCUCCGAGGAAGUUCUCGUGUUGCACCUU